rnacentral:rRNA from 1 species
UACGUAGGGGGCAAGCGUUGUCCGGAUUUAUUGGGCGUAAAGAGCGUGUAGGCGGCCAGACAAGUCUGCUGUGAAAACUCGAGGCUCAACCUCGAGCUGUCGGUGGAAACUGUCUGGCUAGAGUCCGGAAGAGGAGAGUGGAAUUCCUGGUGUAGCGGUGAAAUGCGCAGAUAUCAGGAAGAACACCUAUGGCGAAGGCAGCUCGCUGGGACGUGACUGACGCUGAGACGCGAAACGUGGGGAGCAAACAGG